rnacentral:rRNA from 1 species
GACGAACGCUGGCGGCGUGCUUAACACAUGCAAGUCGAACGGAAAGGCCCUGCUUUUGUGGGGUGCUCGAGUGGCGAACGGGUGAGUAACACGUGAGUAACCUGCCCUUGACUUUGGGAUAACUUCAGGAAACUGGGGCUAAUACCGGAAAGGAGCUCCUGCUGAAUGGUGGGGGUUGGAAAGUUUCGGCGGUUGGGGAUGGACUCGCGGCUUAUCAGCUUGUUGGUGGGGUAGUGGCUUACCAAGGCUUUGACGGGUAGCCGGCCUGGGGGGGUGACCGGCCACAUUGGGACUGAGAGACGGCGCAGACUGCUACGGGAGGCAGCAGUGGGGAAUAUUGCACAAUGGGCGGAAGCCUGAUGCAGCAACGCCGCGGGCGGGAUGACGGCCUUCGGGUUGUAAACCGCUUUCGCCUGUGACGAAGCGUGAGUGACGGUAAUGGGUAAAGAAGCACCGGCUAACUACGUG